rnacentral:rRNA from 1 species
GACGAACGCUGGCGGCGUGCUUAACACAUGCAAGUCGAACGAAGAGCGAUGGAAGCUUGCUUCUAUCAAUCUUAGUGGCGCACGGGUGAGUAACGCGUAAUCACCCUGCCCUUCAGAGGGGGACAACAGUUGGAAACGACUGCUAAUACCGCAUACGAUCUAACCUCGGCAUCGAGGAUAGAUGUAAGGUGGCCUCUACAUGUAAGCUAUCACUGAAGGCGGGGAUUGCGUCUGAUAAGCUAGUUGGUGGGGGAACGGCCCACCAAGGCGAUGAUCAGUAGCCGGUCGUAGAGGAGGGACGGCCACAUUGGGACUGAGACACGGCCCAGACUCCUACGGGGGGCAGCAGUGGGGAAUCUUCCGCAAUGGACGAAAGUCUGACGGAGCAACGCCGCGUGAGUGAUGACGGCCUUCGGGUUGUAAAGCUCUGUUAAUCGGGACGAAAGGCCUUCUUGCGAAUAGUGAGAAGGAUUGACGGUACCGGAAUAGAAAGCCACGGCUAACUACGUG